CUGUACCUGCAGGCUUUUCAAUAUAAACACUGCUUUUUCAGAGAAAAGGCAGUGUUUACAUUGUCAUCCACUCCUUGGUCAGUACUACAUGUUCAGUGUCUCAACGCUCUAUAUGGAGGCGCUGAACGUUCCCCAUAGAGAUGCAUCUCAAUGAGAAGAUGGCGAUUGGUGCAGCGCUGCUUUUGCGGUGACUGCUCAAUAGCCUCCAAAUGCUUUCCUAUAUGAAAGUAUUGGAUUGACUGAGAUUAGCAAGACCCCUGAAUGGCAAUCUCUACUUGCUGUUAUUAGAUCUUAUGCCCCUCAGUAUUCUGUUUUUGCAAGAGUUCAUCCUGUUUAAAACUCUGUACAGACUGAUAAAUCCAGCUCUUCAUGUAGAGAAUUCCACAUCUCUAUUUUUUCUUUCUGCAAAGAACCAUUUCAUUUGCCUUCAAUUAAAUAUAAUUUUUUCAAGUCUAUUUCACUUGAACUCCAAGCUUGUACUUCUCCUUGAGCCGUCUAAUCGACUGAUAUCACCCCCAAACGUUCGUCUGCCGAGACUUGCCUAAUCCUGACACCGGCCAGGCCCUUCGGUGUACUUCCAUGGCUGAAGUCUCAUGUAAUCCCCGGUGGUGCAGGUUAGGCCUAGUGUUCACUUUGGUAUGGCAAGGCGGCCAAUAGCUAGAACUGGGUGCCGCUGAGUCCCUGUGGGUUAUAGUGCAGCCCCGUUUCCCUUCCUCUGGACCUGCUGGGGAUAUCCCGGUCCACACCUCGGAGGCCCUACCCCAACGACAUCAAGCUAGGGAGAUUUCGGGCAGGUCUGAAGGAGCCUACCCUAAAAUGGCAGAUGCCAUGUGUCCCUUUUAUAUCUUGGCUAGAUAAACUCUUCUCUGACUUUUGGCUGAAGCUAACUCAACAGCAAUACCUUGCACGGCAGGAGUCUCACACCGGAGACCACCAGCGCACAGCACGAGUUCCGACCCCAAGAUGGGCCGAAGAAGGUGAAGGGGAGUGUUUCCCCGCAAGAUGGCGAGAGCAAGGCAUCAUACGCUACACAUGUUAUACCCCCGUCCUGACCGGACACGACAUGAAAACAGCGGAGUGCAGCUUUCCUGAAUCCCGCAGUACACUGUUGCACAGUUCUGGCUUCCCACAAGCUUGGAGUACAGAGGGUUGGUCCGUGCGGAUCCUGCAGGACUUAUGCUAUGACAACCACUGCUCUCAGGUGUCCCCAAGCCUGUUGAAAAGUCUACAACGCAGGGACUUUGCUUUACCUCUGCAGGGUAUCUGCUGAAUGGAAACCGGGACUUUAUCUCUGGCAUAGUGCCUGUCCACCACGUAUAAUUCCAGCACCUGCUGAGUAUUUGUUUUGUUCCUUUUCAUUAUUAACAAUUCAUAUUCUGACUAACUGUCAAUACAUAUGUGGAAUAGGGGAGGCCAUGCUUUAUAAUUAACAGCUACCAAUUAACUAAUUAAGCACUGGAGAUGUGUAGGCUUAAUGUGUAUUUUGAUGAGGGCACUCAUUACUGCACUUACUGCCAAUGCAUAUGUGGG